rnacentral:rRNA from 1 species
UGGGGAAUAUUGCACAAUGGACGGAAGUCUGAUGCAGCAACGCCGCGUGCGGGAUGACGGCCUUCGGGUUGUAAACCGCUUUUUCUCAUGACGAAGUUUUUUGACGGUAGUGGGGGAAGAAGCACCGGCUAACUACGUGCCAGCAGCCGCGGUGAUACGUAGGGUGCGAGCGUUGUCCGGAAUUAUUGGGCGUAAAGAGCUUGUAGGCGGUUUGUCGCGUCGAUAGUGCAAACUCAGUGCUUAACACUGAGCCUGCUGUUGAUACGGGCAGACUAGAGGAAGGUAGGGGAGAAUGGAAUUCCCGGUGGAGCGGUGGAAUGCGCAGAUAUCGGGAGGAACACCGGUGGCGAAGGCGGUUCUCUGGGCCUUUCCUGACGCUGAGAAGCGAAAGCGUGGGGAGCGAACAGG